ensembl:lncRNA LINC02405 long intergenic non-protein coding RNA 2405
GCCUGUCCUCGCCUAGGUCCCUGGGGCUAGAGGCCUAGUCACGGACUCUGCCCUUUCUACCCCGCGCUUUCCUUCCCGGCUUCCGUAUCAUUUAAAGGGACCGUGCUCUUCCUUUCCCAGCACUCCGGCUUGAGUGUUAAAUGGCCAGCAGGAAUUAUCCACUAGAGAAGCGGAAGGGAGAGAAUGGAAAUGGCCGCAUGCAGCUCCUCUCCCUCAGACAGCUCGGGGCUCAGCGGAAUGAGCACAGUCUGCAGGACAAGUGCGGAGGACUUCAGUCCCCUCUACUGUAUAUUGGCUUUAGGACUCAAGUUGUCCCUGAAAUAGAGGAAGGUGUUUUCUAGGGUAGUGGUAAUUAUCACAGUCAAAAAAGUAGGCGAGAGCACUUAGGAAAACUGUGCGGAGAUCGGCUGCUGAUGUGUAAAUACUGCUGAAGCUGCUUAUUCAAGAUUAGAAAACCUGAGACCCAGACGGGGGAAACUGCUUUCCAUGGUUAAUCGUCAACAACUGGCCAGGAUGGGACAGAAGCCCAUACAUAGCCUUCAUUCCAGGGCUCAGAACAAAAAGAAGGCAGUGGCCUGGGCUGCACCUGAGCUUGGCUUCACAUAGGAGGGAUUCUGGAACGCAGGAUCCUGACAACGACCUCAAGGCAGUGAACUCCAAAUUUGACCAAGACGCAGCCUUUGUCCUGUUAUUUUUAUAACCUCCAAGGGAGGACACGGCGCCUGUGGAGGUCAUCAUUUUGAUCAUUUCGCAAGGUAGACGCUGGCCAGGAUGAUGACAGAGAUGUAGACCUGAUGCCCAGAAUCUCAGGAGUGUGAACGUCUUGUUUUCCCAUCAUAAAACAGGAAACGUCAUUCCUGGGGAAGAACACCCAAUGAACAGGCACCUCCUUAGAGAGAUGGUGCAUUUUUAACUAGGAAGAAAGGAAACAUAUGUUCAAUGUAAGGACAACCUUUACAAAUGGGAAGAAGAGAGAUCUUGGCUGAUUUUACCUCUGUAAUUAUGGCAAAGGGACAAUUGAAUGGGUGGAAAGUGAACAUGCAGUCCUUCCUUUGGAGUAAGGUUAUUAAUUUUGGUUUUACCUCUGUAUCUCAUUUAUGCAAGGUUCAGGAAAUAUUCUGUGAUGAUAGCUGUAUUAGAUUCCUAGGGGCUACAUAAUAAAGUACCAUUACCAUCAA